AGUGAACGCUGGCGGUAGGCCUAACACAUGCGAGUCGAACGGCAGCACAGUAAGAGCUUGCUCUUACGGGUGGCGAGUGGCGGACGGGUGAGGAAUACAUCGGAAUCUACUUUUUCGUGGGGGAUAACGUAGGGAAACUUACGCUAAUACCGCAUACGACCUACGGGUGAAAGCAGGGGAUCUUCGGACCUUGCGCGAUUGAAUGAGCCGAUGUCGGAUUAGCUAGUUGGCGGGGUAAAGGCCCACCAAGGCGACGAUCCGUAGCUGGUCUGAGAGGAUGAUCAGCCACACUGGAACUGAGACACGGUCCAGACUCCUACGGGAGGCAGCAGUGGGGAAUAUUGGACAAUGGGCGCAAGCCUGAUCCAGCCAUACCGCGUGGGUGAAGAAGGCCUUCGGGUUGUAAAGCCCUUUUGUUGGGAAAGAAAAGCAGCAGGUUAAGACCCCGCUGUUCGGACGGUACCCAAAGAAUAAGCACCGGCGAACUUCGG
rnacentral:rRNA from 1 species